rnacentral:other from 1 species
GAAACCCUGCCUUGUGCGAUAUGCUUGCAGCCUAUAUGUAACCCAACACACACUAUAAGGGAGCCUUUGCUCCGGUGACGGAUUGCAGACCUCCCGGUCAGGUCUUGUGCCUGAUUGGACGAAGGGAGCGUGAAAGCAUCGGGCGGCACCCACCUGCUUAGCGAGCAGGUUACAAUCGGCUGCAUACGGCUUGGCGGGGUUAUU